rnacentral:pre_miRNA from 1 species
GAUGGGAUAGCUGGGUCAAAUGGUGGUUCCAUUCCAUUUUCUAAGGAAUCUCUAUACUAAUUUCCAUAGUGGUUGCACCAAUUUGUAGUGCCACCAGCAAU